GAACUCUCGUUAAGGAACUCGGCAAAAUGACCCCGUAACUUCGGGAGAAGGGGUGCUCUUGAGGGUUAACGCCCAGAAGAGCCGCAGUGAAUAGGCCCAAGCGACUGUUUAUCAAAAACACAUGUCUCUGCUAAACCGUAAGGUGAUGUAUAGGGGCUGACGCCUGCCCGGUGCUGGAAGGUUAAGAGGAGUGGUUAGAUUCUGCGAAGCUACGAAUCGAAGCCCCAGUAAACGG
rnacentral:rRNA from 1 species